GAUAACUGGCUUGUGGCAGCAAAGCGUUCAUAGCGACGUUGCCUUUUGAUCCUUGGACG
rfam:Ciona savignyi cont_9145, whole genome shotgun sequence.